rnacentral:lncRNA from 1 species
CCCAAUAGCUAUAGUUGGAAAGGUUGACAAACAUCCUUCGUGUAAUCUCGUCAGGCUACGACACCGCUAGAAAUAGUUAGAUGCACAACAGAAAAGGUAGGCAUAACCGCCCAAUCCUGAAAAAUUCGAUCAGAGAUGUUGGAAUAGUAUGUUCAGUAGAGUCCAAGUUGCCUUCGAUUCUCUUCUUCCACGGCUUCUACACUCUAUAAAAGGAGGUCACC